GGCGGUGUGUGUGUGUGUGUGUGUGUGUGUGCGCUGCCCCGCCUCCUCCACCACACAGGCAUCUUGCC
rnacentral:miRNA from 1 species